rnacentral:rRNA from 1 species
GAUGAACGCUGGCGGCGUGCCUAAUACAUGCAAGUCGAGCGAACGGACGAGAAGCUUGCUUCUCUGAUGUUAGCGGCGGACGGGUGAGUAACACGUGGAUAACCUACCUAUAAGACGGGGAUAACUUCGGGAAACCGGAGCUAAUACCGGAUAAUAUUUUGAACCGCAUGGUUCAAAAGUGAAAGACGGUCUUGCUGUCACUUAUAGAUGGAUCCGCGCUGCAUUAGCUAGUUGGUAAGGUAACGGCUUACCAAGGCAACGAUGCAUAGCCGACCUGAGAGGGUGAUCGGCCACACUGGAACUGAGACACGGUCCAGACUCCUACGGGAGGCAGCAGUAGGGAAUCUUCCGCAAUGGGCGAAAGCCUGACGGAGCAACGCCGCGUGAGUGAUGAAGGUCUUCGGAUCGUAAAGCUCUGUUAUUAGGGAAGAACAUAUGUGUAAGUAACUGUGCACAUCUUGACGGUACCUAAUCAGAAAGCCACGGCUAACUACGUG